GCUUGGAAACUGGGAUCGUGGAUUCGAAUCCCACUCAGGGCUGGAUAUGCUGACUUAGAACUGCGUAUUACAGCUACAGAUAACAGUGACUAUAUUCCUGUCAACACAACACUAUUUCCAACAGGUGGAGUUGCUGCCUACAACAUGCUUCAGCAUAUGUGUGUCACCUUCAAGUCUGGUACAGAAAACUGGAUUACCCAGUAGGAGAAACUGUGAAACCACCAAAACCACAUCCUACUCUGUACAAACAGCAGUGACAACAAGAACUCUGCCCAAGCCAUCCCAGGAAGAACAGCAGAAUAAGGAAACAUGGAGUGGACGGAUAGUGUGCUUCAGUGCCACAUAUUCUUAUAAAACAUUCACUAGUAACCACUGAACAAAAUAACCACAAUGUUAAAAAAAGAGAA